rnacentral:rRNA from 1 species
AUGGUUUUGCCCUUCCGUCCUGUUUCCAUCCAGUUAGUGUCGUUUGACCGUGUGUUGACCGUCUAUGGACUUUUCGUUGGACUUAUUUGCCCUUGCUUCCUCACUGUCUCACUAGACACUUCCAAAUGGGACCAAUCACUCAGAAAACAUCCCACCACUUUCGUCCGGUUUUUUUCGCUGGUUUUUUCGUCUGCCCUCCCCCUCGCACGCAAAAAAACGCACCCAGCACCGAAACAAAGAAAAACCUACGACUCCGCUCCUCUCGAUCCCCUCGAUCUUCCUGACGCAGCCGUGCCACUGCGAGAUUGCAAAUCAGUCUGGAGAGGACCUUGCGUGAGCUCGCUCCCAUGUCGCUCUCCUCCUAGGGCGACACCGGGGCGCCCCCCAACCCUAGCCGCCACAGACCCCCACCACAACCAAGCCGCCGUCGCCGGCAGCUGUCGCCGGCGGCGGCGAAGGCGGCUCCUCAAAGCAGGGACGCGUCUCCCGUCGAAAUCCAAGUCCAUUCGCGCGAGCUUCUCCGCCCCUCGAUCCAAUCUUCACCUUCGCUCAUGGUGGCCGUCAGCUGGCUUCCCACCGGCGGCCAGCUUGAUCUGCGCGGCACUCGGCUGCUCGCGUGGCCCACCUCCUCCCCAUCGUGGCACUCUGCGCGGCACUCGAUGGCCGCCGUUGGGCCUGCUUGCGGCGCACAGAUCAUAUCGCGUGCGAUGGCUACAUCAUCGCCGGACCUGUCCUUUCGUCCGACCGCGACCCAACCCCAGCGCCCUCCUCCACCGCCCGCUUCCCCCACUCCCGCUUGACUCCACGGGGGGCGCCGAUGGCGAUGCUCUGCCCGGAGUUCCGCGGAUCUGCGUAUGCCAGCCGCGUUUGGCCCUCCGUCCGCUGUGCUCUGCCGGCCCUGGCCCACGCCGUGGUUGCCCUUGGCUCGUCACCAGGCUCCUGUGUGGCUUGCUCUCGCACGUCCAGAUGCACCAUCGCCGGGUUCCCUGUUGCCCCUCAGAUAUGAUAAAUGCAUCCACCCAUCGCAUCCAUUGGCUUGGGUACCUGAUGGAUUUGGUGUGGUGUCUGACCUUCUGCUGCUCUGUCUCCGAGAGAGAUCCCUUCGCUAGCUCCUUGCUAGCGGCAGCAACGGCGACGCUUUUGGCGCCGCUUCCCUUCUUGGAGGCGCUGCUGUGGAGCCCCAGUGCAGCAGUGGAUUUGGCCGAAAGCCCUACGAUGAUGGCGCCCGUGGGUGUCAUUCAACCUUCCUGA